rnacentral:rRNA from 1 species
AUGGCCUUGCCGGCGAUCCCCGACGAGCUCCUCGUGGAGAUCCUCCUCCGCCUUCCCACCGCAGCCGAUCUCAUCCGCGCCUCCGCCGUCUGCGUCUCCUUCCGCCGCCUCGUCGCCGACCGCUCCUUCCUCCGGCGCUUUCGCAAGAUCCACCCCCCGCCCCUCCUCGGCUUCCUCGACCCAAGGCACUGGCACCGCUUCAAAUCCGCCGUCCCGCCUCACCCCUCCGCGCCGGCGGCUAGCGCCGUCGCCAGCGCCGCCGACUUCUCCUUCGCCUUUCUCCCCGCCCCUGCGUCGGACUGGUCCAUACGGGAAGUCCGCGACGGCCGCGUCCUCCUCGACAGACCCCGCCGGCACGACGCCGCCGAGAGGCUCGGAGCCGUCGUCAAGAAGAUGGUGGUGUGCGACCCCUUGCACCGGCAGUAUCUCCUGCUUCCCCCGAUCCCUGAUGACCUAGUCCCU